GAGGGUGGGCAGGGAGCAGGGCGGCCAGAGUCGGUCGAGCUUCCGAGGAGAGCUAGCGGACAGCGUAGCGCAGCGUAUCACCCAGGCGCCGAAGGCGGUGCGGUGUAGUUGAGUGCGGUGCGGCGCGGCCAGCGUCUGGCCUGGGCUGGCUUUUCGGGCUUCUCGAAACUCUCCACGUGAAGGAUUACACCGGAGUGCAGGAUUGUGUGGCUUUCAGUGACGGAUUUCCUCAGCAACCAUGGCUAGCGACAAGCAUGGCCGGUCGGACUCGUACCGAGUGGCCACUGUUCCCUCCAUGGCAGACGACAACAGAACAUUCGACGGAGUCGCAAAGUCGCGGCGGAAAUCCCCGACUAAAGGGAAAAGAAAGGGAGAGGAUUUAGAUGACCUUAAACAAGAAUUGGAUAUCGACUUUCAUAAAAUAACGCCGGAGGAACUCUACCAACGUUUCCAAACUAGCCCAGACAGAGGUCUUUCACACGCUAAAGCAAAAGAGAAUUUGGAAAGAGAUGGCCCAAAUGCUCUCACACCUCCUAAAACAACGCCAGAAUGGGUCAAAUUCUGCAAGCAGCUCUUUGGUGGCUUUGCCCUGCUCCUGUGGAUUGGUGCCAUCCUCUGCUUCAUUGCAUACUCCAUCCAAGCCAGCACGGUUGAGGAACCUGCUGAUGAUAACCUCUACCUGGGAGUGGUACUAUCAGCAGUCGUGAUUGUCACUGGCUGCUUUUCAUACUAUCAGGAAGCUAAAUCGUCAGCAAUUAUGGAAUCAUUUAAAAGUAUGGUCCCUCAGUUUGCAACAGUUAUAAGAGAGGGAGAGAAGGUAACAGUAAGGGCAGAGGACUUGGUACUUGGUGAUGUUGUGGAAGUUAAAUUUGGAGACCGAGUUCCUGCUGAUCUUCGUGUUAUUGAGGCACGUGGCUUCAAAGUUGACAAUUCUUCAUUGACUGGAGAAUCUGAACCUCAAAGCCGCAGCGUUGAGUUCACUCAUGAGAACCCCCUUGAAACUAAGAAUUUGGCAUUCUUCUCAACCAAUGCUGUUGAAGGCACUGCUAAAGGUGUUGUGAUCAGCUGUGGUGAUCAUACUGUAAUGGGUAGGAUUGCUGGUUUAGCAUCUGGUCUAGACACUGGUGAAACACCCAUUGCAAAGGAAAUUCACCAUUUCAUCCACCUCAUCACUGGUGUGGCUGUGUUCCUUGGUGUUUCGUUCUUCCUCAUUGCUUUCAUUCUGGGUUACCAUUGGUUGGAUGCCGUCAUCUUCUUGAUUGGUAUCAUUGUGGCCAAUGUACCCGAGGGUCUCCUUGCAACUGUAACUGUGUGUCUGACACUAACAGCCAAGAGAAUGGCAUCAAAGAACUGCUUGGUUAAGAAUUUGGAAGCUGUAGAAACCUUGGGCUCCACAUCUACCAUUUGCUCAGACAAAACUGGAACCCUUACCCAGAACCGAAUGACAGUCGCACACAUGUGGUUUGACAACCAAAUCAUUGAGGCUGAUACGACAGAGGAUCAGUCAGGAGUUCAAUAUGACCGCACAAGCCCUGGAUUCAAAGCCUUGUCUAGGAUUGCUGCUCUAUGCAACCGAGCUGAGUUCAAAGGAGGCCAGGAGGGUGUUCCUGUUUUGAAGAAGGAAGUUGCCGGUGAUGCCUCUGAGGCUGCUCUUCUGAAGUGCAUGGAAUUGGCUAUGGGAGAUGUUAUGUCAGUCAGGAAGAAGAACAAGAAAGUGUGUGAGCUGCCUUUCAACUCAACCAACAAAUACCAGAUUUCUAUCCAUGAAACUGAGGAUCCUAAUGACCCCAGGCAUCUGUCGGUCAUGAAGGGAGCUCCCGAGCGUAUUCUGGACCGAUGCUCCACUAUUUUCAUUGGUGGCAAAGAGAAAGUUCUGGAUGAGGAAAUGAAAGAGGCAUUCAACAAUGCUUACCUGGAACUUGGUGGUCUGGGUGAGCGUGUGCUUGGAUUCUGUGACCAGAUGCUGCCAUCCGACAAAUAUCCAAUUGGUUUCAAGUUCGAUGCUGAUGAAGUUAACUUCCCCAUCACUGGAAUGCGCUUUGUGGGCCUCAUGUCCAUGAUUGACCCUCCCCGUGCUGCCGUCCCUGACGCCGUCGCUAAAUGCCGGUCUGCUGGUAUCAAAGUCAUCAUGGUGACUGGUGACCACCCGAUCACUGCCAAAGCUAUUGCCAAGUCCGUCGGUAUCAUUUCUGAAGGAAAUGAAACUGUGGAAGAUAUUGCUCAGCGACUGAACAUCCCUGUUUCUGAAGUUAACCCUCGUGAAGCUAAAGCUGCUGUUGUUCACGGUACUGAGCUGCGAGACUUGGACUCAGACCACUUGGAUGAUAUCCUUCGCCACCACACCGAAAUCGUGUUUGCCCGUACUUCACCGCAGCAGAAGCUCAUCAUUGUUGAGGGUUGCCAACGCAUGGGUGCCAUUGUGGCUGUGACAGGAGAUGGUGUGAAUGACUCCCCUGCCUUGAAGAAAGCUGAUAUUGGUGUUGCUAUGGGUAUUGCUGGUUCUGAUGUGUCCAAGCAAGCUGCUGACAUGAUUCUGCUUGAUGACAACUUUGCCUCAAUUGUCACUGGUGUUGAAGAGGGUCGUCUCAUCUUUGACAACUUGAAGAAAUCUAUUGCCUACACUCUGACCUCCAACAUUCCUGAAAUCUCACCUUUCCUGGCAUUCAUCUUGCUAGACAUUCCACUUCCACUUGGUACAGUUACCAUUCUCUGCAUUGACUUGGGAACUGACAUGGUCCCUGCCAUUUCCCUGGCCUAUGAAGAAGCCGAGUCAGAUAUCAUGAAGCGACAGCCUCGAAAUCCUUUCACAGAUAAACUCGUAAACGAAAGGUAAAUUAUGAGACAACUUAAGAGUUCAUAUUAAUGAUUUUUUUGUUAAUUGUGGAACAUGUCUGUCUGUCUCUCUCUCUCUUCUCUCUCUUUAAGUUUAAUAAUUCUUUUGCUCUAGCGACUGAAUUACUCUGCUUAUUAUGCUUAGAUUAUUUUUAAGUUACAUAGCCGUUUAAGUUAAUUAUGAGGUAAGUGGAAUUUUAAUUCUGUUACUUUGUACUCUGAGAUGUUAUGGUAUAAAAAUUGCAUUUUUGGUUGUUACAUAU
rnacentral:misc_RNA from 1 species